GACGUAGGGCGCGAGCGUUGUCCGGAUUUAUUGGGCGUAAAGAGCUCGUAGGCGGCUUGUCGCGUCGGCUGUGAAAACCUGGGGCUCAACCCCGGGCCUGCAGCCGAUACGGGCAAGCUAGAAUUCGGUAGGGGAGACUGGAAUUCCUGGUGUAGCGGUGAAAUGCGUAGAUAUCCGGAGGAACACCAGUGGCGAAGGCGGCCUUCUGGACUGCUUCUGACGCUCAGACGCGAAAGCUAGGGAGCAACGGG
rnacentral:rRNA from 1 species